rnacentral:rRNA from 1 species
UACGGGGGGGGCAAGCGUUGUUCGGAAUUACUGGGCGUAAAGGGCUCGUAGGUGGUCAACUAAGUCGGACGUGAAAUCCCUCGGCUUAACCGGGGAACUGCGUCCGAUACUGGAUGACUUGAGUUCGGGAGAGGGAUGCGGAAUUCCAGGUGUAGCGGUGAAAUGCGUAGAUAUUGGGAGGAACACCGGUGGCGAAGGCGGCCCCCUGGACCGGUACUGACGCUGAGGCGCGAAAGCGUGGGUAGCAAACGGG